rnacentral:rRNA from 1 species
UUAAGCGACUAAGCGUACACGGUGGAUGCCCUGGCAGUCAGAGGCGAUGAAGGACGUGCUAAUCUGCGAUAAGCGUCGGUAAGGUGAUAUGAACCGUUAUAACCGGCGAUUUCCGAAUGGGGAAACCCAGUGUGUUUCGACACACUAUCAUUAACUGAAUCCAUAGGUUAAUGAGGCGAACCGGGGGAACUGAAACAUCUAAGUACCCCGAGGAAAAGAAAUCAACCGAGAUUCCCCCAGUAGCGGCGAGCGAACGGGGAGCAGCCCAGAGCCUGAAUCAGUAUGUGUGUUAGUGGAAGCGUCUGGAAAGGCGCGCGAUACAGGGUGACAGCCCCGUACACAAAAAUGCACAUGCUGUGAGCUCGAUGAGUAGGGCGGGACACGUGGUAUCCUGUCUGAAUAUGGGGGGACCAUCCUCCAAGGCUAAAUACUCCUGACUGACCGAUAGUGAACCAGUACCGUGAGGGAAAGGCGAAAAGAACCCCGGCGAGGGGAGUGAAAAAGAACCUGAAACCGUGUACGUACAAGCAGUGGGAGCACGCUUAGGCGUGUGACUGCGUACCUUUUGUAUAAUGGGUCAGCGACUUAUAUUCUGUAGCAAGGUUAACCGAAUAGGGGAGCCGAAGGGAAACCGAGUCUUAACUGGGCGUUAAGUUGCAGGGUAUAGACCCGAAACCCGGUGAUCUAGCCAUGGGCAGGUUGAAGGUUGGGUAACACUAACUGGAGGACCGAACCGACUAAUGUUGAAAAAUUAGCGGAUGACUUGUGGCUGGGGGUGAAAGGCCAAUCAAACCGGGAGAUAGCUGGUUCUCCCCGAAAGCUAUUUAGGUAGCGCCUCGUGAAUUCAUCUCCGGGGGUAGAGCACUGUUUCGGCAAGGGGGUCAUCCCGACUUACCAACCCGAUGCAAACUGCGAAUACCGGAGAAUGUUAUCACGGGAGACACACGGCGGGUGCUAACGUCCGUCGUGAAGAGGGAAACAACCCAGACCGCCAGCUAAGGUCCCAAAGUCAUGGUUAAGUGGGAAACGAUGUGGGAAGGCCCAGACAGCCAGGAUGUUGGCUUAGAAGCAGCCAUCAUUUAAAGAAAGCGUAAUAGCUCACUGGUCGAGUCGGCCUGCGCGGAAGAUGUAACGGGGCUAAACCAUGCACCGAAGCUGCGGCAGCGACGCUGAUGCGUUGUUGGGUAGGGGAGCGUUCUGUAAGCCUGUGAAGGUGUGCUGUGAGGCAUGCUGGAGGUAUCAGAAGUGCGAAUGCUGACAUAAGUAACGAUAAAGCGGGUGAAAAGCCCGCUCGCCGGAAGACCAAGGGUUCCUGUCCAACGUUAAUCGGGGCAGGGUGAGUCGACCCCUAAGGCGAGGCCGAAAGGCGUAGUCGAUGGGAAACAGGUUAAUAUUCCUGUACUUGGUGUUACUGCGAAGGGGGGACGGAGAAGGCUAUGUUGGCCGGGCGACGGUUGUCCCGGUUUAAGCGUGUAGGCUGGUUUUCCAGGCAAAUCCGGAAAAUCAAGGCUGAGGCGUGAUGACGAGGCACUACGGUGCUGAAGCAACAAAUGCCCUGCUUCCAGGAAAAGCCUCUAAGCAUCAGGUAACAUCAAAUCGUACCCCAAACCGACACAGGUGGUCAGGUAGAGAAUACCAAGGCGCUUGAGAGAACUCGGGUGAAGGAACUAGGCAAAAUGGUGCCGUAACUUCGGGAGAAGGCACGCUGAUAUGUAGGUGAAGUCCCUCGCGGAUGGAGCUGAAAUCAGUCGAAGAUACCAGCUGGCUGCAACUGUUUAUUAAAAACACAGCACUGUGCAAACACGAAAGUGGACGUAUACGGUGUGACGCCUGCCCGGUGCCGGAAGGUUAAUUGAUGGGGUCAGCGCAAGCGAAGCUCUUGAUCGAAGCCCCGGUAAACGGCGGCCGUAACUAUAACGGUCCUAAGGUAGCGAAAUUCCUUGUCGGGUAAGUUCCGACCUGCACGAAUGGCGUAAUGAUGGCCAGGCUGUCUCCACCCGAGACUCAGUGAAAUUGAACUCGCUGUGAAGAUGCAGUGUACCCGCGGCAAGACGGAAAGACCCCGUGAACCUUUACUAUAGCUUGACACUGAACAUUGAGCCUUGAUGUGUAGGAUAGGUGGGAGGCUUUGAAGUGUGGACGCCAGUCUGCAUGGAGCCGACCUUGAAAUACCACCCUUUAAUGUUUGAUGUUCUAACGUGGACCCGUAAUCCGGGUUGCGGACAGUGUCUGGUGGGUAGUUUGACUGGGGCGGUCUCCUCCUAAAGAGUAACGGAGGAGCACGAAGGUUGGCUAAUCCUGGUCGGACAUCAGGAGGUUAGUGCAAUGGCAUAAGCCAGCUUGACUGCGAGCGUGACGGCGCGAGCAGGUGCGAAAGCAGGUCAUAGUGAUCCGGUGGUUCUGAAUGGAAGGGCCAUCGCUCAACGGAUAAAAGGUACUCCGGGGAUAACAGGCUGAUACCGCCCAAGAGUUCAUAUCGACGGCGGUGUUUGGCACCUCGAUGUCGGCUCAUCACAUCCUGGGGCUGAAGUAGGUCCCAAGGGUAUGGCUGUUCGCCAUUUAAAGUGGUACGCGAGCUGGGUUUAGAACGUCGUGAGACAGUUCGGUCCCUAUCUGCCGUGGGCGCUGGAGAACUGAGGGGGGCUGCUCCUAGUACGAGAGGACCGGAGUGGACGCAUCACUGGUGUUCGGGUUGUCAUGCCAAUGGCACUGCCCGGUAGCUAAAUGCGGAAGAGAUAAGUGCUGAAAGCAUCUAAGCACGAAACUUGCCCCGAGAUGAGUUCUCCCUGACUCCUUGAGAGUCCUGAAGGAACGUUGAAGACGACGACGUUGAUAGGCCGGGUGUGUAAGCGCAGCGAUGCGUUGAGCUAACCGGUACUAAUGAACCGUGAGGCUUAACCUU